AUUGAACGCUGGCGGCAUGCCUUACACAUGCAAGUCGAACGGCACGCAACGGGGGCAACCCUGGUGGCGAGUGGCGAACGGGUGAGUAAUGCAUCGGAACGUGCCCGUAGCGGGGAUAACCAGUCGAAAGACUGGCUAAUACCGCAUACGCUCCACGGAGGAAAGCAGGGGAUCGCAAGACCUUGGCACUAUGGGAGCGGCCGAUGCCCGAUUAGCUAG
rnacentral:rRNA from 1 species